UACGUAGGGGGCAAGCGUUGUCCGGAUUUAUUGGGCGUAAAGAGCGUGUAGGCGGUUUGGUAGGUCCGUUGUGAAAACUCGAGGCUCAACCUCGAGACGCCGAUGGAAACCAUCAGACUAGAGUCCGGAAGAGGAGAGUGGAAUUCCUGGUGUAGCGGUGAAAUGCGCAGAUAUCAGGAAGAACACCCGUGGCUAAGGCGGCUCUCUAGUACGGUACUGACGCUGAGACGCGAAAGCGUGGGGAGCGAACAGGG
rnacentral:rRNA from 1 species